UCACGGGGCGCCAUCUUGAGGCGGUGGCGGCUGAGGGGAGCGUUUCCUCCUCGUCGCUCCCGGUUUUCCCCGGUGGGGCCGCAUCGCUCCGUGUCCCGUUCCCCCCCCCCCCCACCCCGCCCCGCCCCGGUAUUAAAAGCUGCCUGAGGGCGCGGGCUCUGCCGCCUCAGCGGGUGCGAGGAGGGGUGGAGGGCGCGGAAAGCAGCGGUGGCGGUGGGAAUGUGGCCGGGUGCGGCUGAGGAGAUGAUGGCUGACGGGGGGGGGGGGGUGCGGGGGGGUUUGUGGGGAGUAUGGCUGAGGGGGGUACGGCCCGUCGUGAGGGAGGGCAGGCGGCCCUCAGCCGGCUGUCCCCACCGCCACACAGGCAGGGUUGUGCAGCCGGGAGGGGGAUGUUCCCCAAAAAGCCAUUUUCUGGGCGCUCUUGAGGGGCCUCCUGGCCCUGUACCGGCUGUGGGCAGCCAUCGAGGGCUGCUGGCAGGAACCUGGGAGCUGCUAACUGCUGCUGGGUGUACCUCCUUUUUUCUGAGGUGUAAUGUGACUUCAAAUGAACUCAUGCCAGUCAGGCAGGAUGCUGAGCGUGACCUGAGCACAUUCUGCUGGAAGAAGGCUGCGGGACGGGGAAAGAGCCGUGUCCAUCCAGCCGGGACCUACGGUGAGGGCGGCAGGAACGCCGUCAGCGACGGUUCCCACUUCUUCGCUGGAAACUACGGCAAACGCGUUUGUUGUGGGGCCAUUCACCGAAACAGCUAACACAAACAAUUGUGCAAGCUGAGCUGGGACCUCGUGUCUUCAUUCCUCCUCCCGCUUACCGUUUUGUGGUCGGAAAGCCGAAAUCGGUGGGCAGGCAGCCUGCGAGCCGCCCGGGGCAGAGCCAGCCGCUGCCAGCCACGCACACCGUGCUUAGCAAACGAUGAACGCGUCGGGGAAGUUUAUGAGUUAUUCAUGGGCCGUUUUGCAAACAGAACGAGCUGAUCAAUAAUUAACCGGAGGCAGCAGCGGGUGCGUGGCCUGGACCGGUACGUGGCUCGGUGGCCGCGAGCUGCUCACCCGGCCACCCUGGGCUUCCCCGUCCCGGGGAUCGCUCGACCUCAGCCCCCCCAAUUCCUUCGAGGAUGCGUGUCCCCUCCCUGGGGCGACGCUUUCUGAGUUCUUCUACCUGCAACGGCAGAAGCUCCCCCCAGCCCCGAGCAGAGCAAAUCUUCAGGUAGCGCGUUUUCCCGCAGAGCGUUUCGGAGGCUCCUUCCAGCGCGUCCAGCAAACCUCGCGCAAUCAGCAGGACUCCAACGUGCCCACGGAUGCUCCUCACCGGGGCCGAAGGCGGAGGACGGGGAGCCUCCGUGCAAGCCACGGUGCUCCUCGGGCGCUCGGGUGGACGACUGGCAGCAGAGCUCCUUUCCAGAAACAGGCUGUUCUCCGUGCGAUGGAGGUUGCGCUAUUUAAUAUUCUAACAGAAGGCAACAUAAUUGCAGCUUAAUCUAAUUAAUGAAUCCUGGUAAGAGCCACUCCAAUAUUUCCUGUUCAAUACUUGCACUGCAGUUGGUAUUGGGCGCUCGGCACGGAGCGAUGAGUUGGCGAGACAAAACUGGCCACCCACGGUAAGGGACACUCCGCACAUGCGGACGCUGCGGCCAAAUGGGGGAAAAUGCAAAAUAAACAGCACGGACGGCCAUCUGCCACUUCCGAAGCAGCAGCCAACGCUAACACCCCAUUAGGACACGGACCAAAAGCACAAAUCUGGUGGUUUGGCCACCAGCGAUUUUCAUUUUUCUCCAGAAAAGGGUUCUGGCAUUUGUUAAAAAAGAAAAAAAAAAGAAAAAGGAAGAGGCCCAAGGGACUUGAGGACUUGUUUAAAUAAUAGAAAGGCUGCUGCUGCCCGUUUUGUUUAUGUCAUCAGAAAAGGUUACAGCUUUGAACUUACUCACGGGCAACCACAGCGCUGACUUAAAAAUGCAGCAGAGCUGCAAUGUUGCUGGUUUGCUCACCUUUCUGGAGCGGAGACUCUCGUGGGAUGACUGCAUCCAAGCAGGCUCUUCGCUCACUCCCCUGUUUCGGAACCAGGGCUGCUGACCUCAGAACUAGCUGAUUAGUUUUUAUUUUUAAUAUAGAAAUAGGAGAAGGCAAGAAUCGUAACAUUUCCCUUCCCCAAAACAUUUGAUGUGCUGCAGCCCACUCCUAUGUCUAGGAAAUGCUGCUGGAAAUCCAAUAAAGCACAAACCAGGGGUGAGUGUCACCCGUCCCGGCUGUAACCGAAGCACAUCCUCCUGGUCUGAGGCCUCCUCCAGACACCGGGACUAAUUAAUUGGUUUUUAAAAACAUUUUACUAUGUUUUGUAACAUUAAACCCUAAGGUGAUUCUGUUAUAAUUCUAUAAAUCACAAAUCUUUUCUUAUGAUAGAUUUAAUUUUCUGUUUACUGAGCUAUCCUACGUUUUCCCUGUUCCAAUCUCCAGCCAGUGAGAAACUCCAAGAAAAUGCAUUCAUGCAGUCCCUCUUGUGUUUUACCUUUAUGUCUAAUUAUAUUUUAUAUAUGUAGGAUAAAUGUGUGUGAAAUAGCCCAGUGGCAUAGCCAGCUCAGUUUCCACAAGGUAGUGAUUUAUUAAGGGCUAUUUAAUUAACAGAAAAAGCCUCGUUUCUGCCAGCAUAACCCCCACUUUGCCAGGUCUGGCCAGGCAAGGGUUUUGCCUGCUGCAGUCCUGCGACUGCGAUGAAGCCGGGCCACGGAGAGGGGAAGAAGGUUUCCCCGUACUGUCAUUGCGAGAGAAGCAUGUAGAUGUGUAAGUGCCUGAUCUAGACAUGUUGGGAUUGUCGGAUAAUUCCUGUUUAACCACUUCUAACUCGCUGCAUUUCCCCAUCAAAUACCGGAUGGGUCAUUUGAGCACCUUCUCUCGCAUCUCCCUGUCUCUUAUUCGUGUUGAAACCCAAACCAUUCCCCCUUGCCAGAAUCUUGGAAAAUGAGUAUAACGAGUAAAUGAGUGUAUGAGUUGAAAUACUGUGUCACACGAGUUUUCUUAAUGUUUAAAAAGAUGUUAUUUCAUUGCUACUCCAGAAAUAAACUUGCAUGACGUUUUCGGCAGGACACGGCGUGGGUUUGGCCGGCUCAGCUGGGGAGGAGAGCAGGCGCUGCGGUGACUGCUGGGCUGUACGGGGUCUUAGCCUGCAUUUAGGAACUACCCCAAAAUGAACAUCAUCUUGUCCGAAAGGUCGCGCGUAAAAUAGCUCUGCGGUUAAAGCACUACAGGUCCUCUUUCGGUUGCGGCCCCACUACUUCAACGUCCCACUGUGGGCUUCAGCUGAACUACUCCAGGCUGACACGCUGGGCAGGAUCCGUCCCCGUCCGCUCGCCAAACCACGUCGGCGAGUGGCAUCGGUACGGGGCAACUGAGCUCAUGAGAAAAUGCCAUAACAGCUUGGAUGGCUCCAUCGCUCCUGCUUCCAACGCAGAAACAAGGGCUCCGCAAAGCUUACUGCAACGCCUUGGCACGGGAGUGUGAACAACCGUGGGUUUCUCGGGGUUGUUAUUGUCAUUACUUUUAUCCUUAUCGUUGCAAUUAUUGAUGUUAGUGUGUCACAGGAGGUUGCUGGAAGGACUCCACUAUUACAGCGGGGUUUUCGAGUAGCUUCAUUAAUACUAGUGCUAAUGCGCAGGAGUGAUUUGUGUGAUUGACAGUUCAGGCAACGAAGUUUACCUUGUUUCAGCGUGGGGCUUGAUGGGACAGGGCUCUGGCUCUGGCGACCAGGCAGGUCCCGGCAGUGCCGUCUCCCAAAGCCCCCGAGGACGGCGGUGCCGUGGUCCGCUGCCGGGCACCGCCGCCGUGCUUCGGAAAGAACGGCUCCAUCACGGGGGACGCCUGCUCUGAAGGUCAUCCCGGUCAGAGGGAACAGACGUUAACCAUUGCUGCUUCUUACGUAUUUUAGAGGAAAGAAAGCUCAGUUGAAAAAGCUGAAGGAAUGUCACCGACUGCAUUCUACAUCUGUUACAUCUCAGAAUAAUUUAUUUUAACCUCUGAAGAUACAAGGGAAAAUAUUUGAAGGAGAUGGAGACUUGCCAGUAUUUCCAGUUCAUUAUAAGCAAAGAACUGUUGCUUAUAGCACUUUUUUGGAGCAGAGAGUAGUCUGGUUUUAAAUCCCUCAAGCAAUGAGGAAUCACGUACUCGCCAAUGGAAAUUGUUCUUCAGUAAAGAAUUUGCUAAUUAAAAAAGUUUAAUUUUUAAA